rnacentral:rRNA from 1 species
UACGUAGGGUGCAAGCGUUGUCCGGAGUUACUGGGCGUAAAGCGCGCGCAGGCGGCUCGGCAAGCAUGGCGUGAAAGCCCCCGGCUCAACCGGGGAGAGUCGUCGUGGACUGCCGGGCUUAAGGGCGGCAGGGGUUGGUGGAAUUCCCGGUGUAGUGGUGAAAUGCGUAGAGAUCGGGAGGAACACCCGUGGCGAAGGCGGCCAACUGGGCCGGCCCUGACGCUGAGGCGCGAAGGCGUGGGGAGCGAACGGG